rnacentral:rRNA from 1 species
AACGAACGCUGGCGGCAUGCCUAACACAUGCAAGUCGAACGAGACCUUCGGGUCUAGUGGCGCACGGGUGCGUAACGCGUGGGAAUCUGCCCUUCGGUUGGGAAUAACUGAGAGAAAUUUCAGCUAAUACCUUAUAAUGUCUUCGGACCAAAGAUUUAUCGCCGAGGGAUGAGCCCGCGUAGGAUUAGGUAGUUGGUGGGGUAAUGGCCUACCACGCCGACGAUCCUUAGCUGGUCUGAGAGGAUGAUCAGCCACACUGGGACUGAGACGCGGCCCAGACUCCUACGGGAGGCAGCAGUGGGGAAUAUUGGACAAUGGGCGAAGGCCUGAUCCAGCAAUGCCGCGUGAGUGAUGAAGGCCUUAGGGUUGUAAAGCUCUUUUACCCGGGAUGAUAAUGACAGUACCGGGAGAAUAAGCUCCGGCUAACUCCGUG